rnacentral:lncRNA from 1 species
AUGAAGCAGGAGGCAAAACACCCAAACUCUGUUCCCUCUUCCACUCCUGAUUCACUGUCUGGCCUCCAAAAGUCCUCUAAAGACACUGGGUCCUGCAAAGUGGAACCUCCUGACACAGGCUGGGAACAGGUUCGGAGAGACACAACCUCCUGUUUGGAGAACGAGUCUGAAAGGGGUGCUGCCCAAAGGAAACAGCGGAGUCCCAAAUCUCUCCAAAGGAAAUGUCACAUACUGCCUGCAGCUGGGUGGAAAGAGCAGCCCAGCAGUGUAGAAUAUGCCCAGGCCUGUUGCCCCUGUAUCAUUGCAAAGAGCAACAAGAAAAAGUCCCCUCUCAACGCUGCCCCAGGCCAUACGCAGCAAAUGUGCCCCCUUCCCUGUGACAAUGUGUUGAUGGUGCUGCUGGACCCUGCUGUGCUCCCACUGCUCACGACACCCAUCUACCCAGGAGAGGCAUCCUGACCUGGCUAAAGCCAUCCCACCCCUCACCUGGGCAGUCUUGUUUCAAUGUAAUGUCUUCUAGCACAAGAAGUCACAUGCAAUGCUUACCCACCUAGGCUAAACUGCAACACUCUUGAAUCAAACUGCAAGGGAAUCAGGCUGAUUGAGCUGCACGAGGGUGGCUUGCUUGCAUACACGAGGCCACCUUGUUGUGAGCAGACCCUGCAAAAUUCAGGGAGCUGCAAACCACUUCGGCUCUGCCACCUCAGUUCCUCAAGGAGGUCCCUGAAUGCUUCACCACCCACAGCAGGGAGCUCAAGGUGGAAUAACGUGGCUUCAACUGAAAACCCACUGCACUCAGGAUUUUGCAGUCACCCCCCCUUGCCAGGAUACCAUGUCAACAGCACAGGGGUGAAGAUGCUCCCCCAAGAAGCAGGAGACAUCAGCUCUAGCCCUGUGCAAAAGGCAAGAAAGGACAUGUCCUUCCAUCACUCCUGCUGCCACUCCCACUGUGUAGAAAGGGCUUAAAUACAAAGGGCAGCGCUCUUUCCUGCCCAAGCCAGGGGGUCAGACUCGGUGAUCUACUGAGGUCCUUUCUGACCCUAACAACGAUGAAACCAUGAGAUAUCUGCUGAGACAGAGAGCAAGUCAGGGUGAUCCUCCAGCCCAGCUGCUUGGCCACCUGAUCUCCAGUCCCUGCUUUGGUGGAUGAUAAUUAGUCCCACAAAACUUCUGCAGGAGAGCACUCCCACACCGGCGUCCCCUAUUGCCUGGCAGUCAAAGCUUCUCCUGGGAUGUCUGGGUUCGAAACCCCUUGGCCAUAGAAGGAUGCUGAGCCCAGGCCUCUCUCAGCUGCGGUGACAGCUCUGGUCAAUAAAAGGAGGCAGCUUCUCUCA